AUUGAACGCUGGCGGCAUGCCUUACACAUGCAAGUCGAACGGUAACGCGGGGCAACCUGGCGACGAGUGGCGAACGGGUGAGUAAUGUAUCGGAACGUGCCCAGUUGUGGGGGAUAACUGCUCGAAAGAGCAGCUAAUACCGCAUACGACCUGAGGGUGAAAGCGGGGGAUCGCAAGACCUCGCGCAAUUGGAGCGGCCGAUAUCAGAUUAGGUAGUUGGUGGGGUAAAGGCUCACCGAGCCAACGAUCUGUAGCUGGUCUGAGAGGACGACCAGCCACACUGGGACUGAGACACGGCCCAGACUCAUACGGGAGGCAGCAGUGGGGAAUUUUGGACAAUGGACGCAAGUCUGAUCCAGCCAUGCCGCGUGCGGGAAGAAGGCCUUCGGGUUGUAAACCGCUUUUGUCAGGGAAGAAACGCUCUGGGUUAAUACCUCGGGGUAAUGACGGUACCUGAAGAAUAAGCACCGGCUAACUACGUGCCAGCAGCCGCCGUAACAC
rnacentral:rRNA from 1 species